rnacentral:rRNA from 1 species
UCACCCAGCUCGUCAUGCUAGAGCACUUUUUCAAUGUGCUCCCCAAAGAGAAGGCGACAGCACAUUCGUAUGUCAAUCCAUAUCAAAUUUCGAUGACAGCGCCUACCAUGUGACCACGGGUAACGGGGAAUCAGGGUUCGAUUCCAUACAGGGACCCUGACAAACUGCUACCACAUGCAAGGAAGGCAGCAGGUGCGCAAAUGACCCACUCCCAAUGCGGGAAGGUAGGGACGA